rnacentral:rRNA from 1 species
ACACUCCUACGGGAGGCAGCAGUGGGGAAUAUUGCACAAUGGGCGCAAGCCUGAUGCAGCCAUGCCGCGUGUAUGAAGAAGGCCUUCGGGUUGUAAAGUACUUUCAGCGGGGAGGAAGGCGAUAAGGUUAAUAACCUUGUUGAUUGACGUUACCCGCAGAAGAAGCACCGGCUAACUCCGUGCCAGCAGCCGCGGUAAUACGGAGGGUGCAAGCGUUAAUCGGAAUUACUGGGCGUAAAGCGCACGCAGGCGGUCUGUCAAGUCGGAUGUGAAAUCCCCGGGCUCAACCUGGGAACUGCAUUCGAAACUGGCAGGCUAGAGUCUUGUAGAGGGGGGUAGAAUGCCAGGUGUAGCGGUGAAAUGCGUAGAGAUCUGGAGGAAUACCGGUGGCGAAGGCGGCCCCCUGGACAAAGACUGACGUUCAGGUGCGAAAGCGUGGGGAGCAAACAGGAUUAGAUACCCCGGUAGUCCCAU